rnacentral:rRNA from 1 species
AGUUUGAUCCUGGCCUCAGAUUGAACGGCUAGGCGGGGAUGCUUUUACACAUGCAAGUCGAACGGCAGCACGAGAAGAAGCUUGCUCUCUUGGUGGCGAGUGGCGGACGGGGUGAGUAAAUAUAUCCGGAACGUGCCCAGUAGCGGGGGAUAACUACUCGAAAGAAGUGGCUAAUACCGCAUACGCCCUACGGGGGAAAGGGGGGGAUUCUUCGGAACCUCUCACUAUUGGAGCGGCCGAUAUCGGAUUAGCUAGUUGGUGGGGUAAAGGCUCACCAAGGCAACGAUCCGUAGCUGGUUUGAGAGGACGACCAGCCACACUGGGAACUGAGACACGGCCCAGACUCCCUACGGGAGGCAGCAGUGGGGAAUUUUGGACAAUGGGGGAAACCCUGAUCCAGCCAUCCCGCGUGUAUGAUGAAGGCCUUCGGGUUGUAAAGUCACUUUUGGCAAGAAGAAGGAAAAGGCUAUUGCUACCUAAGUACGAGAAUA